UUUUAGGGCUGCACAAAGUC
rnacentral:misc_RNA from 1 species